rnacentral:rRNA from 1 species
UACGUAGGGUGCAAGCGUUGUCCGGAAUUAUUGGGCGUAAAGAGCUCGUAGGCGGUCUGUCGCGUCUGCUGUGAAAACUCGGGGCUUAACCCCGGGCCUGCAGUGGGUACGGGCAGACUAGAGUGCGGUAGGGGAGACUGGAAUUCCUGGUGUAGCGGUGAAAUGCGCAGAUAUCAGGAGGAACACCGGUGGCGAAGGCGGGUCUCUGGGCCUGACCUGACGCUGAGGAGCGAAAGCGUGGGGAGCAAACAGG